UACAGAGGGGGCAAGCGUUGUUCGGAAUUACUGGGCGUAAAGGGCGCGUAGGCGGCCCUCUAAGCCAGACGUGAAAGCCCCCGGCUCAACCGGGGAGUGCGGCUGCGAACUGGGUUUCUUGAGGACGAUAGAGGAGAGUGGAAUUCCUGGUGUAGCGGUGAAAUGCGUAGAUAUCAGGAGGAACACCCGAGGCGAAGGCGGCUCUCUGGGUCGUACCUGACGCUGAGGCGCGAAAGCGUGGGGAGCGAACGGG
rnacentral:rRNA from 1 species